CCAGGCACCAGGGAGCACAUGAGUCCAGCCUCGAGGGAGUGAGCACUCUGUCAGGGACUCCCCAGCCUCUUCCACCGAAAGCCCUGUUCCAGGAGGGACUGUUCCAGGUGAACCCGGCCACUUCCACGAUAGCCUCUGUGAGCUGGGAGGGACAGGCAAGCAGGGUCUUUGGGGCCCAAGUCCAGCCCUGAGGCUGGGCCAGGCUGAGCGAGUGUCUGUCAACCCUGGGGCCUGAAAGGCUGGGGUGUGGGAAGCUCUGCUCGCUCCCAUCUUCCACCAGAACUCCCUGGCAGCCUCUCCAGCAGACGGGCCCCUCCUGGUCUCACAGAAGAAACUGAGGCCCUGCUGACUGGAUACCCCCCUGCCUCCAGCUGCUCCUCUUGGGGGUGCGUCCUUCUCUAGUGCUCCCCCUCGGUCCUGGUCUUUCCCCAGUGGGCACAGCCCCUUGGUUCCGGCCUUUCCCACUUCCCCCCCACUCAGUUAUCUCCUCUGACUCCGAGCAUGCUCUGCAGCCAAGGUUGGUCUUCCUGGGGCCUAGGACCCGUUCGCUGCUCUGGGACAAGUGGACACUGACAGGGCCCACGUUCUGUCCAGCUGCCAGCUCUGCGCACCCCCACAGCCUGGGGUUGUGGGGAAAGGCCUUGGUUGGGAG
ensembl:lncRNA